rnacentral:rRNA from 1 species
UUGACCUCGGAUCAGGUAGGGAUACCCGCUGAACUUAAGCAUAUCAAUAAGCGGAGGAAAAGAAACCAACAGGGAUUGCCUCAGUAACGGCGAGUGAAGCGGCAACAGCUCAAAUUUGAAAUCUGCCUCUAGGCCGAGUUGUAAUUUGUAGAAGAUGCUUCGGGUGUGGCACUGGUCUAAGUUCCUUGGAACAGGACGUCAUAGAGGGUGAGAAUCCCGUAUGUGACUGGCUGCCUUCGCCCAUGUGAAGCUCUUUCGACGAGUCGAGUUGUUUGGGAAUGCAGCUCAAAAUGGGUGGUAUAUUUCAUCUAAAGCUAAAUAUUGGCCAGAGACCGAUAGCGCACAAGUAGAGUGAUCGAAAGAUGAAAAGCACUUUGGAAAGAGAGUUAAACAGCACGUGAAAUUGUUGAAAGGGAAGCGCUUGCAACCAGACUUGCGCGCCGUCGAUCCCCCGAGGUUUUCCCCGGUGCACUCGGCGGUGCUCAGGCCAGCAUCGGUUUCGGUGGUUAGAUAAAGGCCUUGGGAAUGUGGCUCCUCCGGGAGUGUUAUAGCCCUCGGUGCAAUGUAGCCUACCGGGACCGAGGACCGCGCUCGGCUAGGAUGCUGCGUA